GCCCAGGUGGCGGAAUUGGUAGACGCGCUAGCUUCAGGUGCUAGUGACCGUACGGUCGUGGGGGUUCGAGUCCCUUCCUGGGCACCA
rnacentral:tRNA from 1 species